CAUUCUAGAUACACUUUCCAGUACAUCUACUAUGUUACGACUUAUCUUACCUUAAUAAUAAGAGUGACGGGCGAUGUGUACAUAUUUUAGAGCUAAAAUCAAAUUAUUAAUCUAUAUAAUUUUACUAUCAAAUCCACCUUUAAUAAACAUUUCAAAUUUAAAUCCGUAUAAAUAAAUUUAUUGUAAUCCAUUUCUACUUAAAUAUUAGCUACACCUUGAUCUGAUAUACAUUCUUUUUAAAAAUUAAGAAAAUUAACAUUCUUAUAAAAUAUUCUAAUAACGACGGUAUAUAAACUGAAUACAAAUUUAAGUUAGGUCCAUCGUGGAUUAUCGAUUACAGAACAGAUUCCUCUGAAUAGACUAAAAUACCGCCAAAUUUUUUAAGUUUCAAGAACAUAACUACUACUACCUUAAUUUUUUAGUACAUUUUUAAUAAUAGGGUAUCUAAUCCUAGUUUAUUACAAAAAUUUCCAAGCUUUAAUAUUUAACGAAUAAAAAUAAUUGAAAUUUAAAAUUUCACCUAAUAAAUAAAAUUUUAUUUUUAAAAUACAAUUUAACUAUAAUUAAAAAUAAUUUACUUGCAAUAUUCGUAUAACCGCGGCUGCUGGCACAAAUUUAGCCAUUACUUUUUAAUAUUACUAUUUAUAAAUUUCUUUAAUUAAUAAUAUUUAUUAAUGAGAAUAUAAAAAAAAUAUUUACUAUUAAAAUAAAUAAAAAUUCACACAAAAAUUUACAUAUAAAUUAAACUAAUAAUAAAUUUAAAAGCUAAAAUAAAACUUUAUA
rnacentral:rRNA from 1 species